GCCGCCAUGGCUCAGCUGGUAGAGCGGCUGCCUUGUAAGCAGCAGGUCGGGGGUCCGACUCCCCCUGGCGGCU
rnacentral:tRNA from 1 species